GACGAACGCUGGCGGCGUGCUUAACACAUGCAAGUCGAACGGUAAGGCCCUUCGGGGUACACGAGUGGCGAACGGGUGAGUAACACGUGGGUGAUCUGCCCUGCACUUCGGGAUAAGCCUGGGAAACUGGGUCUAAUACCGGAUAGGACUCCUGGCUUCAUGGGUGGGGGUGGAAAGCUUUUGCGGUGUGGGAUGGGCCCGGGGCCUAUCAGCUUGUUGGUGGGGUAAUGGCCUACCAAGGCGACGACGGGUAGCCGGCCUGAGAGGGUGACCGGUCACACUGGGACUGAGAUACGGCCCAGACUCCUACGGGAGGCAGCAGUGGGGAAUAUUGCACAAUGGGCGCAAGCCUGAUGCAGCGACGCCGCGUGAGGGAUGACGGCCUUCGGGUUGUAAACCUCUUUCAGCUAUGACGAAGCGCAAGUGACGGUAGUAGCAGAAGAAGGACCGGCCAACUACGUGCCAGCAGCCGCCGUAA
rnacentral:rRNA from 1 species